rnacentral:rRNA from 1 species
CCUACGGGCGGCUGCAGUGGGGAAUAUUGGACAAUGGGCGAAAGCCUGAUCCAGCCAUGCCGCGUGUGUGAAGAAGGCCUUCGGGUUGUAAAGCACUUUCAGUGGGGAAGAAAGCCUUGGGGCUAAUACCCUCGAGGAAGGACAUCACCCACAGAAGAAGCACCGGCUAACUCCGUGCCAGCAGCCGCGGUAAUACGGAGGGUGCGAGCGUUAAUCGGAAUUACUGGGCGUAAAGCGCGCGUAGGCGGUCUGAUAAGCCGGUUGUGAAAGCCCCGGGCUCAACCUGGGAACGGCAUCCGGAACUGUCAGGCUAGAGUGCAGGAGAGGAAGGUAGAAUUCCCGGUGUAGCGGUGAAAUGCGUAGAGAUCGGGAGGAAUACCAGUGGCGAAGGCGGCCUUCUGGACUGACACUGACGCUGAGGUGCGAAAGCGUGGGUAGCAAACAGGAUUAGAUCCCCAGUAGUC